rnacentral:lncRNA from 1 species
AUGGUCAUUUGGGAUUAUGGAGGUUUGGGGUCAUCAUUUGGGGUCAUGGUCAUUUGGGGUCAUGGAGAUUUAGGGUCGCAGUUAUUUGGGGUCAUCUGGAUUUGGGGUCAUGGAGAUUUGGGGUCAUGGUUAUUUGGGGUCAAGUUAUUUGGGGUCAUCUGGAUUUGGGGUCGUGGUUAUUUGGGGUCAUGGAUAUUUGGGGUCAUCUGGAUUUGGGGUUGUGGUCAUUUAGGGUCAUGGUUAUUUGGGGUCAUAGUUAUUUGGGGUCGUGGUCAUUUGGGGUUAUGGUUAUUUAGGGUCACGGUUAUUUGGGGUUAUGGAGAUUUAGGGUCAUGGUUAUUUGGGGUCAAGUUAUUUGGGGUCAUCUGGAUUUGGGGUCAUUGUGAUUUGUGGUCAUUAAAGUCAUUUGGGGUCCUUGUAAUGAUUUCUGGUCAUUGUGUUUAUAGGGUCGUCCCUAUUUGGGGUCUAUGGGGACACAAUGGGGUCAAUGGGGCCAAUAGGGUCUCUGUGGGGUCAAUGGGGACACUAUGGGGUCAGUGGGGACACUAUGGGGCCAAUGGGGUCAAUGGGGGCAAUCCGGUCAAUGGGGUCACUAUGGGAUCUAUGGGGUCUAUGGGGACACUAUGGGGUCAGCGGGGGCAAUGGGGACACUAUGGGGUCAAGGGGGUCUCUAUGGGAUCAAUGGGGACACUAUGGGUUCUAUGGGGUCAAUGGGGCCAAUGGGGUCAAUGGGGUCUCUAUGGGGUCAAUGGGGCCAAUGGGGUCAAUGGGGACACUGUGGGGUCAGUGGGGACUCUAUGGGGUCAAUGGGGACACUAUGGGGUCUACGGGGGUAAUGGCGUCAAUGGGGCCCAAUAUGGCCCAGUAUGGCCCAGUGUCCUCCCAUUACUCCCAGUAUGGCCCAGUAUGGCCCAGAAUAGCCCAGUAUGGCCCAGUCCCCUCCCAGUAUGGCCCAGAAUAGUCCAGCAUGGCCCAGUAUGGCCCAGUAUGGCCCAGUAUGGGCCAGUAUAACCCAGUAUGGACAAGUCCUCUCCCAGUAUGGCCCAGUAUGACCCAGUAUGGCCCAGAAUAGCCCAGUAUGGCCUCAUUGCCUCCCAGUAUGGCCCAGUAUGGACCAGUAUAACCCAGUAUGGACCAGUCCCCUCCCAGUAUUGCCCAGUAUGGCCCAGACCCCUCCCAUUAUUGCCCAGUAUAGACCAGUAUGGCCCAGUCCCCUCCCAGUAUGGUCCCAGUAUGGCACAGUGCUCCCAGUAUAACCCAGUAUAACCCAGUAUGGACCAGCCCCCUCCCAGUAUGGCCCAGUAUAACCCAGUAUGACUCAGUAUGGCCCAGUCUCCUNGGACCAGUAUGGCCCAGUAUGGACUGGAAUGUACCAGUAUGCCCCAGUAUAACCCAGUAUGGACCAGUAUGGACCAGUAUGGACCAGUAUAGCUCAGUAUGGACCAAUAUGGCCCAGUAUGGACCAGUAUAGCUCAGUAUGGACCAGUAUAGCCCAGUAUGGCCCAGUAUGACCCAGUAUGACCAGUAUGAACCAUAUAGCCCAGUAUAGUCCAGUAUGGAACAGUAUGGAACAGUAUGGCCCAGUAUAACCCUGUAUGGGCCAGUAUGAACCAGUCCCCUCCCAGAAUGGACUAGUAUAGACCAGUAUAACCCAGUAUGGACCAGUAUGACCCAGUAUGGACCAGUAUGGCCCAGUAUGGACCAAUAUGGACCAGUAUGGCCCAGUAUGGACCAGUCCCCUCCCAGUAUAACCCAGUAUGGACCAGCAUGGCCCAGUAUAACCCAGUAUGGACCCAGUAUAACCCAAUAUGGACCAGUAUAACCCAGUAUGGACCAAUCCCCUCCCAGAAUGGACCAGUAUAGACCAGUAUAACCCAGUAUGGACCAGUAUGACCCAGUAUGGACCAGUAUGGGCUGAACUGGGCUGAAAACUUCCCCCUUUGUUUUAUUCGCCUGUAAAACAACAAGAGGAGAAACAACGCGACCCCCAAGUCCUCCAAGCGACCCCCAA